AUUGAACGCUGGCGGCAGGCCUAACACAUGCAAGUCGAGCGGAUGAAGGGAGCUUGCUCCUGGAUUCAGCGGCGGACGGGUGAGUAAUGCCUAGGAAUCUGCCUGGUAGUGGGGGAUAACGUCCGGAAACGGGCGCUAAUACCGCAUACGUCCUGAGGGAGAAAGUGGGGGAUCUUCGGGCCUCCCGCUUUCGGAUGACCCUAGGUCGGAUUAGCUAGUUGGGGGGGUAAGGGCCUACCAAGGCGACGAUCCGUAACUGGUCUGAGAGGAUGAUCAGUCACACUGGAACUGAGACACGGUCCAGACUCCUACGGGAGGCAGCAGUGGGGAAUAUUGGACAAAGGGCGAAAGCCUGAUCCAGCCAUGCCGCGUGUGUGAAGAAGGUCUUCGGAUUGUAAAGCACUUUAAGUUGGGAGGAAGGGCAGUAAGUUAAUACCUUGCUGUAUUGACGUUACCAACAGAAUAAGCACCGGCUAACUUCGUG
rnacentral:rRNA from 1 species